rnacentral:rRNA from 1 species
AGUGAACGCUGGCGGUAGGCCUAACACAUGCAAGUCGAACGGCAGCACAGGAGAGCUUGCUCUCUGGGUGGCGAGUGGCGGACGGGUGAGGAAUACAUCGGAAUCUACUUUUUCGUGGGGGAUAACGUAGGGAAACUUACGCUAAUACCGCAUACGACCUACGGGUGAAAGCAGGGGACCUUCGGGCCUUGCGCGAUUGAAUGAGCCGGUGUCGGAUUAGCUAGUUGGCGGGGAAAAGGCCCACCAAGGCGACGAUCCGUAGCUGGGCUGAGAGGAUGCUCAGCCACACUGGAACUGAGACACGAUCCAGACUCCUACUGGAGGCAGCAGUUGGGAAUAUUGGACAAUGGGCGCAAGCCUGAUUCAGCCAUACCGCGUGGGUGAAGAAGGCCUUCGGGUUGUAAAGCCCUUUUGUUGGGAAAGAAAUCCAGCUGGCUAAUACCCGGUUGGGAUGACGGUACCCAAAGAAUAAGCACCGGCUAACUUCGUGCCAGCCGCCGCAGUAA